ACGUAGGUCACAAGCGUUGUCCGGAAUUACUGGGUGUAAAGAGAGCGCAGGCGGGAAGACAAGUUGGAAGUGAAAUCUAUGGGCUCAACCCAUAAACUGCUUUCAAAACUGUUUUUCUUGAGUAGUGCAGAGGUAGGCGGAAUUCCCGGUGUAGCGGUGGAAUGCGUAGAUAUCGGGAGGAACACCAGUGGCGAAGGCGGCCUACUGGGCACCAACUGACGCUGAGGCUCGAAAGUGUGGGUAGCAAACAG
rnacentral:rRNA from 1 species